rnacentral:ncRNA from 1 species
GAGAGCCGGAUGCGGGGAAACUCGCACGUCCGGUUCGGAGAGAGGAGUGAGUAAAACCGCCAGCUGUGAAGCUGGUAUGGCGUACUUGCCCCUACUCUAC